rnacentral:lncRNA from 1 species
UCUAAAAAAUUAAUAUCGUAAAAAAUUACAUUAUCAAUUUUUUUAGAAAAAUUAAUAUUUUAACUCAAGAGUGUGUUCCACAAAAAUUAAUAUAUAUAUUUUUAUUUUAUUUUAUUUUUUGGUGUUAAACUGGUAAUUUAUUUUUUUAUUUUUAAUAAUGUCUAAAAAACUUAUUAUAAUAGGGUUAUUUUUUUCUUUUUAAUAAUGUCUAAAAAAUUAUUAUAAUAGGGUAAUAUUAUAAAAAUAAGUUAAAAGGAACAAAAGAUAAUGGCAAAAGUGUCAAUAAUUUAAUGGUAGGGAUGGUUUGAGGUAUUUUUAAAAAUAUAGGGACUAAACGGACACUAACUUCAAAAUAUAAGGACUAAACGAGCU